UACGGAGGGUGCGAGCGUUGUCCGGAAUCACUGGGCGUAAAGGGCGCGUAGGUGGCGACGCAAGUCAACGGUGAAAGCUCGACGCUCAACGUCGAGUCGGCCGUCGAUGACUGCAUCGCUGGGAGCACUGUGAGAGGCAGAUGGAAUUCCGGGUGUAGCGGUGGAAUGCGCAGAUAUCAGGAGGAACACCGAUUGCGAAGGCAGCUCGCUGGAACGUUACUGACGCUGAGACGCGAAAGCGUGGGGAGCAAACAGG
rnacentral:rRNA from 1 species